AUGAUAGGUAUUUUUUGGAAUAUUAGAGGGCUGAAUGGCCCCAUUAAAGUGGACAAAUUGAAAGAGCUCAUUAGAGCCAAUAGUCCUGAUUUUAUUUGUAUUUCUGAGACCAAGAAAGAAGAGUUUACUCUUCUUCAACUUGAAGCUUUUGAUCCCAGAUCUGAAUUCCAAUGGAAAUGGCUCCCUGCAAUUAACACUGCAGGAGGGAUUUUAAUUGGAUGUAGGCUAGAUAUAUUUGACUUAGUCCAAUGGGAUUUACAUAAAUUCAGUAUUUCUUGCAUUCUUAAAAAAACAAGAUUCCAUUGUUGGAGGCUUGUUACUAUUUAUGGUUCUGCCUAUGAUCAGUUUAAAAUGGAUUUCAUUAAUGAACUACACUCCUUGCUGACUGGCUGGACAGGGCCCACCCUGGUGGGGGUGACUUCAAUCUAA
rnacentral:rRNA from 1 species